GAAGGUUUCCUCCUGAGUCAGGCAGAGGAGAGGAAGCAGGCAGAGCAGCAGAGGAAGGAUCUUUUGGCAGAAAUGGGUCUUGAUUCUUCUGAGGCAGAGAAGACUCCGCUGGACGCCAGAGUGAGGCCUCUGGGUGACGGAAUGAUGCCACCAAGACGUGCUCCUUCAUCUUUUCAUGGUGGUGGAGGGGAGGCAGCAGCU